GCUAGAUAGCUCAGUUGGUUAGAGCGUGGUGCUGACCACACCAAGGGCACAGGUUCGAUCCCCAUAUGGGGCAGCU